AAUCAAAUUCAUACAAAGAGGAGAAAUCAAUUGGCGGCAGAUCGAAUAAACAAACUAGUUUAUGUUAUGUUUAACAAAAAAUUAAAAGAUAGAUAUCUCAAAUUGCAGAAUCAAGGAAAUAUUGAGAAUGAAAUUGAUCCUUUGCUUGUUGAUGAGUUACAAUCUGAUGAUGAAUGGGUUACUCCUAAGAAUGCUGAUGUUUAUGAAGUUGAAGUAGAAGGAGAAACUCAUGUCAAUGAAGAAGAUAAUGAAGCAACUGCCCAAGUAUAUAAAAGGAAGAAACAAAGUGAGAUUGAAGCUUAAAAAAAAUUCAAAGGAGAUAAAGGAAAAAAUAUUAUAGAUGAAGAAGAGUUUGAGGAUGACUUUGACAUUAAUUAUGAAGAUUAUUCUGAAGAUAAUCAAAGUGAUGACGAGCCUGCUUUGGGUCUUGAUCCUAAGGGGAUGUUUUAUUUUUAAAUGAGUUUAUUUUAAAUCUUGUAUUCCAGUAAUAUUAUCUUAAAACAAAUCUUCAAAUUCAUAGUUGACAUAAUAUUUUGUUA